AGGGCAUUGAGCACAGACUGAAUGACUCAGUGACGCUUGGAUCAGGUCAGAUCAAAUUCUCAAGCAAACAGAUGGCUGGGGAUAUUCAGUAGCAACGGUGAGGAGAGAGAGGAACAAUUCACAUUUCAAGGGACCCUUCCUCAAAACGGUCUGUUCUGAAGGAACUUUCCCGCAGAAAUCACUGGAUUGAAAGCUUCUGGCAACAAAUGGCCACAAACCGAUCAAAGGUGAAAGUGACGGUGAACCAGACAGAGCAGUCAGUGGCUGCAUAAAGCAGGACGGCGUGGAUAUUACACACGGGGACGGAGUCCAUCAGGAAAUAAAACUGUUCCCCAUAAACAAUGGGAAUGUGUCUCAGGAUCAGGUCGAGGAUAAUGACCAGGAGAUCCGCCACUGCCAUGGCCCCCAGGAUUUAAAAACAGCACCAAGAGAAAAUCCACAAAGAGUAGCUGCCAGGAGACAUUCACUAAAGUUUUCAACUCGGUGGAGACCCCAAUAAUUUCUGAUGUU